UGGGGAAUAUUGCACAAUGGGCGCAAGCCUGAUGCAGCCAUGCCGCGUGUGUGAAGAAGGCCUUCGGGUUGUAAAGCACUUUCAGCGAGGAGGAAGGUGGUGAACUUAAUACGUUCAUCAAUUGACGUUACUCGCAGAAGAAGCACCGGCUAACUCCGUGCCAGCAGCCGCGGUAAUACGGAGGGUGCAAGCGUUAAUCGGAAUUACUGGGCGUAAAGCGCACGCAGGCGGUUUGUUAAGUCAGAUGUGAAAUCCCCGGGCUCAACCUGGGAACUGCAUUUGAAACUGGCAAGCUAGAGUCUCGUAGAGGGGGGUAGAAUUCCAGGUGUAGCGGUGAAAUGCGUAGAGAUCUGGAGGAAUACCGGUGGCGAAGGCGGCCCCCCUGGACGAAGACUGACGCUCAGGUGCGAAAAGGCGUGGGGAGCAAACAGAUUAGAUACCCUGGUAGUCCACGCUGUAAAACGAUGUCGAUUUU
rnacentral:rRNA from 1 species